GAUGAACGCUAGCGGGAGGCCUAACACAUGCAAGCCGAGCGGUAGAGUCUCUUCGGAGCCUUGAGAGCGGCGCACGGGUGCGGAACACGUGUGUAACCUGCCUUUAUCUGGGGGAUAGCCUUUCGAAAGGAAGAUUAAUACCCCAUAAUAUACUGGAUGGCAUCAUCUGGUAUUGAAAACUCCGGUGGAUAGAGAUGGGCACGCGCAAGAUUAGAUAGUUGGUGAGGUAACGGCUCACCAAGUCAGCGAUCUUUAGGGGGCCUGAGAGGGUGAUCCCCCACACUGGUACUGAGACACGGACCAGACUCCUACGGGAGGCAGCAGUGAGGAAUAUUGGACAAUGGGUGAGAGCCUGAUCCAGCCAUCCCGCGUGAAGGACGACGGCCCUAUGGGUUGUAAACUUCUUUUGGAUAGGGAUAAACCUAGAUACGUGUAUCUAGCUGAAGGUACUAGACGAAUAAGCACCGGCUAACUCCGUG
rnacentral:rRNA from 1 species